AACUGGACCUCAGGUUUGCUGCUCUCUCUGAUUUUGUCCUUAAGGUCAUUUGUCCUGUGUGUCUCUAUGUUGUCCUGUCAUGGCCUGGCAACCUGUCCAGGGUGGUGGACGCUUCCUUCUCCUCAAUGACCGUUGGAGAAAACAAAUUACACAUAUCAAAAAGCAAAGAGUCCAACCCAGGAGACAUGAGAAGACAGGAAGGCACCAAGGAAAGACGGGAGUGAAGACGAGGAUCUGGCAAGUUGUGGGAGAAAACGAGAGGCUUAAAUACUGGAGAGGUUGAGAGCUGGAUAAAGACCUGAGUUGAUGAAACUAACUGAUUUCAGGAGCUGCGUCUUCAGGUCAAUUCUCCACAUUUUGAACCAUUGAGCAGAACAAAGGUCAUGACUCAGGGACUCGGACCGACUUCUCCACCCCCACCUUCAAUGCCGUUCAGCUACGGUCUCCGUCCUGCUCACUGUUUGGCACCGAGUGUUUGCAGAAAACCCCCAGCUCCAGGGUGGAAAAGCAACAAGCUGCUGCCAGCAGAGGUUACGCCCUUUGCAAGUCCCUGCUUGGUCCUGACUGGCUUCCACAAACCUCAAUGUGUUUGUCUUUAAAGGCCGGUCAUUUCUAGACAUUAGCCAGAACAGAUCUCAACUUGUGGACAGACGUGUUGAUUACACUUUUUAUCUCAGGAGCAUGAUCAAAGUCAUAACCCAUUAGCAGUCAUGUGUUAAUGGGUUAACUAACAGUACCCUCUCUAGACUCUCCAGCCUCUCGGCCUUGCAUCGAGCAGCUCCUCUUUGCUUCUAACUUUUAAAGGUUCUGCCUCGGCCCUUUCUGAGUCGGAACCAUCACAUCAUUGAUGAUGUUCAUUCCUCUGGGUCAAAGCAUGAGGGACAUUUGAAAUCUGUUAUAGUCCAGAACAAAAUCUUUCUCUCUCUGAUCUUCUUUUAGACCUGCGAUCAUAUAGCUCUUUUUAGCUUGUUAUUCUUUUAACAUUUUAUUUCCCUUAAACUGUUUUAUGAUAUAGAAUACACCUUCAUGCUUCUUUUGGUUUGUCCUGUGGAUUUAACAUGGACACGUCUUGUUUACCUUGCAUUUAUUUAAUAACACCUGAAAAAUAAAAUCAAUAACAAAAA